rnacentral:rRNA from 1 species
GAUGAACGCUGGCGGCGUGCCUAAUACAUGCAAGUCGAGCGAACGGACGAGAAGCUUGCUUCUCUGAUGUUAGCGGCGGACGGGUGAGUAACACGUGGAUAACCUACCUAUAAGACUGGGAUAACUUCGGGAAACCGGAGCUAAUACCGGAUGAUAUUUUGAACCGCAUGGUUCAAAAGUGAAAGACGGUCUUGCUGUCACUUAUAGAUGGAUCCGCGCUGCAUUAGCUAGUUGGUAAGGUAACGGCUUACCAAGGCAACGAUGCAUAGCCGACCUGAGAGGGUGAUCGGCCACACUGGAACGGAGACACGGUCAAGACUCCUACGGGAGGCAGCAGUAGGGAAUCUUCCGCAAUGGGCGAAAGCCUGACGGAGCAACGCCGCGUGAGUGAUGAAGGUCUUCGGAUCGUAAAACUCUGUUAUUAGGGAAGAACAUAUGUGUAAGUAACUGUGCACAUCUUGACGGUACCUAAUCAGAAAGCCACGGCUAACUACGUG